rnacentral:tRNA from 1 species
GUUUCUGUAGUGUAGUGGUUAUCGCAUUCGCCUAUCAUGCGAAAGGUCCCCAGUUCAAGACCGAGCAUAAACU